GUCAUAUCAUCUUUUGAUACUAUAAGUAAUAAUUAAGUUUUUCAACAUAUGCUUGCAUGAAGUAAUUUGCAUCUUAAAACUUUGAAUAGAAUGUCCUCCCCCAAAUCGACUAAACAGUUUGUUGUUCCAGUUCUAGGAAAGAUAAGACUACCACUUUUGAAAAACAUAAAUAUGCCGAUUUCUGACAUAAUUGCAAACAAUUUACUUUGUACUCCAAUCAGGCUGAUACCGGUAACUCUUAAAAAAACUUUUUACUCUUUGAAUAUUUUCACCCGUUGUUUCAAACGUUCUUUCAAAUUUUAGCAAUUUAUAUCGAUACUACAUUAUGUAAUAUUCACGCUUCUUUAAGGAAUCACAUGGAAUUUGAAAAAAAAAAAAAAAAAAAAAUAGUAUAUCUAUGUAGAAGAGAUUAGUCCCAAGGCCAUUGUUUGAAAAAAUCUCAUCAAGUAUCGAGUUAUAUGCCCUGUUCUAAGAAAUACGUUUUGUGAACUAUAUCUAUAAUUUAUUUUAUAGAUUUUUUGCUUAUGCAAAUGUGUAAAAAUAACUAUAUAUCCUGAUAAUAUUUUUUUAAGCUUAUAUUAAUACUUAAUUUAGCGACAUUAUGAAAGAUUUGCUAAUUUGAACUAUGAUUUUUUAAUAUGUAAAUGUUAUUAUUAUAAUUAUGACUUUGUAUUGAAAAUGUUAUAAUUAUGGAAAACUUAAAUGAGGAGCAAGUGAUAGGAUCUUUAAAGUUUGUAAAAAUUAAUUAGAUCUUUAAUCUAUUUAUAUCUUUGAAACCAUUAGAGUAUGCAUAUUUGUAUGCGUCAUCUUUAUAAAUCUGGCAAAAAGUUGACAAAAUAAAGAACAAUUUUAGCAGCCUCCUUUUUAGUUUCUUUAAAAUUAUGGCCAAUUAGUAUGCCAACUGAACUAGAGUAGUUAAACUAGAUAAUUAGGGAAGCAAAAUUACCAUUUAUACUUUCUUGAUGUACAUAUAACACAGGCAACAAUUCCAGAGUGAUAAUUUAUUAUUUGAAUUUGGAUAUAGGGAUUGAAAUGAUUUUUGAACAGAAAAUUCAUAACUGUGCUUUUUUCCCCCUAAUCACAAAUUUUUGAGAUACCUAGAUUUACUUUAAUUCAUAAGUUGUAAUUUUCCAUUACUAAAAGAAUCAGAAAGAAUAAUAUUAUAUUAAUGAAACAUAUUUAAAAUCGUUCAAUGAGUUACUUUAUAUAUUUGUUGUUUCUGUGCUUCUUUAAUUGCAGUCGUAAGCGAUUUCUUGAACAAGUAAGUACGUAUGAAGGAAGAUUACAAUUAGGGUUGUAGAUAUGUCCUGCUCCUGUUGGAUGAGGCACCUCUUUGAAGUAUACAUUUGGCCAGUCCAUAUGCUAUUCACUAAGCAUUUUGGAUGACCAGGAACAUUAGCUGUAAUAAAAUGCUUUUAUUAACCAAGUAACUAAAAUACAGGAAGGGCACGUAUCUUCAAGCUGGGGAGGAAGAAAAAGCCUCUGGCCUUACUAUCCACGAGUGAUAAUAUGAUCCCCACAUCUACUGCUGAGGUAUCUAUCUAUAACCUCCAGGUAAUGAAUGCUGCAAUACUAAUAUCAAAACAAUAGAUUAACAACCACUGUUCUCAUGAAAACCAUCCUUGGUUCCAUUCACAUAACGCCAUAAUCAAGUGGGAAUAGGAGAAGCUCGUAGUCGCGCUAUAAGAAACUGAGAACUUAAAGAAAGACAAGCAAGGGUUUCCUACAAUCAAUGCAGCUACAGUUUUCCCAGACCUGGCAGGACCAGAAACUCGCUUUCUAUUUCAUGUUAUUGGAGUGAAAUGUGACUGGCCCACUACUUCUGAUGACACCUGUGAAAAUAAUGAUAACUACAGGAAAUCAUGUAAGUUUGUGAAGUCAGUAAAUGUGACCAAUUUUGUGGAAGAGAGAGGUAUGAAACGGAUGAGUGACUUUGCUAUUUAGAUCACAUCUAUCCUUGAAAAGAGAAGGAAGUCCCAUUGAAGAAGUGACAAAAGAUAUAUCAGAAACGUCGUCUGACAAGUUGAUUUUUUAUGUUUUUUAUUAAAAUACAUAAUUGUCACUAUAAAGUCCCAACUCUUUCGUUUGGUACUACUUUCAAUCAUAUAAAAUCAAUAAUCUCUGGGAUGUAAAACGAAAACAAUCAUAAAACGUCCCGAAUUUUGCAGCGCUUAAAAAAACCAACCCUAAAGUUACGUGGCUCUUGAGGUAAUCAUAGACAAAGUCCUAAAACAAAGUACCAAGUAUAUUUGGUUGAUUUAUGAAAUAAUGUAAAUUGUGUUUAUUUUUUCUCGGAUGAGAGAACAUUUGAUAUUGAUCCGAUCAUAAAUCGAAAAAGAAAUCUUCUAGAAUAAUCGUAAUAAAAAUCUACUACCCACAUGUUAUGCGAAACGAAACAUCCAGCCUCAUAAAUUAUCAUAGAUGAAAAAAUAUGAUCUGUCAGUAUGUUUAAAAAAAGAAACUAACAAUAAAUGCGGUAAUCCUGACCAUUUAAAAAAUGUUUGGGGACAAGA
rnacentral:lncRNA from 1 species